GUAACGGGGCUAAACCAUGCACCGAAGCUGCGGCAGCGACACCGUGUGUUGUUGGGUAGGGGAGCGUUCUGUAAGCCUGUGAAGGUGUGCUGUGAGGCAUGCUGGAGGUAUCAGAAGUGCGAAUGCUGACAUAAGUAACGAUAAAGCGGGUGAAAAGCCCGCUCGCCGGAAGACCAAGGGUUCCUGUCCAACGUUAAUCGGGGCAGGGUGAGUCGACCCCUAAGGCGAGGCCGAAAGGCGUAGUCGAUGGGAAACGGGUUAAUAUUCCCGUACUUGGUGUUACUGCGAAGGGGGGACGGAGAAGGCUAUGUUGGCCGGGCGACGGUUGUCCCGGUUUAAGCGUGUAGGUAUGUGUUCCAGGUAAAUCCGGUUCACUUUAACACUGAGGCGUGACGACGAGGCACUACGGUGCUGAAGCAACAAAUGCCCUGCUUCCAGGAAAAGCCUCUAAGCAUCAGGUAACAUCAAAUCGUACCCCAAACCGACACAGGUGGUCAGGUAGAGAAUACCAAGGCGCUUGAGAGAACUCGGGUGAAGGAACUAGGCAAAAUGGUGCCGUAACUUCGGGAGAAGGCACGCUGACACGUAGGUGAAGUGAUUUACUCACGGAGCUGAAGUCAGCCGAAGAUACCAGCUGGCUGCAACUGUUUAUUAAAAACACAGCACUGUGCAAACACGAAAGUGGACGUAUACGGUGUGACGCCUGCCCGGUGCCGGAAGGUUAAUUGAUGGGGUCAGCGCAAGCGAAGCUCCUGAUCGAAGCCCCGGUAAACGGCGGCCGUAACUAUAACGGUCCUAAGGUAGCGAAAUUCCUUGUCGGGUAAGUUCCGACCUGCACGAAUGGCGUAAUGAUGGCCAGGCUGUCUCCACCCGAGACUCAGUGAAAUUGAACUCGCUGUGAAGAUGCAGUGUACCCGCGGCAAGACGGAAAGACCCCGUGAACCUUUACUAUAGCUUGACACUGAACAUUGAGCCUUGAUGU
rnacentral:rRNA from 1 species